rnacentral:miRNA from 1 species
CUGAGGGCCUGAUCCAAAGCCUACUGAUGAUGGAGGAAGUCUUUCCAUUGACUUCAGUGGACUUUGGAUCAGACUCUUCA